GGGGAACCUGCGGAGGGAUCAUUACACAAAUAUGAAGGCGGGCUGGAACCUCUCGGGGUUACAGCCUUGCUGAAUUAUUCACCCUUGUCUUUUGCGUACUUCUUGUUUCCUUGGUGGGUUCGCCCACCACUAGGACAAACAUAAACCUUUUGUAAUUGCAAUCAGCGUCAGUAACAAAUUAAUAAUUACAACUUUCAACAACGGAUCUCUUGGUUCUGGCAUCGAUGAAGAACGCAGCGAAAUGCGAUAAGUAGUGUGAAUUGCAGAAUUCAGUGAAUCAUCGAAUCUUUGAACGCACAUUGCGCCCUUUGGUAUUCCAAAGGGCAUGCCUGUUCGAGCGUCAUUUGUACCCUCAAGCUUUGCUUGGUGUUGGGCGUCUUGUCUCUAGCUUUGCUGGAGACUCGCCUUAAAGUAAUUGGCAGCCGGCCUACUGGUUUCGGAGCGCAGCACAAGUCGCACUCUCUAUCAGCAAAGGUCUAGCAUCCAUUAAGCCUUUUUUUCAACUUUUGACCUCGGAUCAAGUUAGGAAGCCCCGUUUUCU
rnacentral:rRNA from 1 species